GGAGAUGAACUCGUUGCUGAUUUUUCCAAGGUUUUGACAGAAGGAAGUUGUGGAGACAGGGGUAUGUGCAGAGCAUGUCAGGACUGAGACCAGACCGGAUUCUGCCUUUGGGGAGAUGAAAAUAGAAAAUGCUAAGCAGAUGAAAUUCCAACAACUAAGGAUUGGAUUCCUACCUGUGUAUAGAGCAUUGGAGAUUUGGUGGUGAACUCGAAAGGAGGGCCUUGUUCUCCUUGAUUUGACUGCAAAGGAGCACAGGAAACAUUGAUCACUUGAUUACAAUUAUGCAUUUUUAAUUGGAGGUAUGGAGAGUCUGGAGAAUGAAGUGGGACUGGCGACAAAAUCAG